UACGAGGGGGGCAAGCGUUGUUCGGAAUUAUUGGGCGUAAAGGGCGCGUAGGCGGUGCGGUAAGUCACCUGUGAAACCUCUAGGCUUAACCUAGAGCCUGCAGGCGAAACUGCCGUGCUUGAGGGUGGGAGAGGUGCGUGGAAUUCCCGGUGUAGCGGUGAAAUGCGUAGAUAUCGGGAGGAAGACCAGUGGCGAAGGCGGGUCUCUGGGCCGAUACUGACGCUGAGGAGCGAAAGCGUGGGGAGCGAACAGG
rnacentral:rRNA from 1 species